UGCCCCGUGGCUGAGUUGGUUACAGCGUCCGACUGUUACGAUGACAUCGGAAGGUCGUGAGUUCGAGCCUCACCGGGGCAG